UGGUGUCUAGGCGGGCGUCUAAACGGAUCUAAGCGUUCUUUUUUAAUUUUCAAACGCUUAAAAAUUAAUCAAGACGGUAGUUAACCGUCUAGCACCUAAGUAAAACUUAGACGGCGUUCGGUAAAGAUUUUUAAAACAAGGCCUGAUGCAAUCCCCCUCCUCAUUUGCGUCUAUAUCAGUGAAACCCAGGCCAGCUGUUUUCAUUCCUCCAAAUCAUAAAUUUCGACGGAAAAAAUGGAAUCAAAAUCCGUAUCUUUGAUUAGGUCAAAGUCUUCCACAAGAAAAUAUAAUAAUUUCAUUCAACGAAGGCGUUCGUCCACGCUUCAGAUUCGAGGAAACUUCAUUGCCUUUCUUUCCUUGCCUUCCACGUAUGUCACGUUCCCGCUAACGGACAAAGGGGAAUUGAAUUUCUUGCAACCUAAAACAUUUUUUUUUUUUUUUGAGAACUGCAACCUAAAACUUUGGUAAAUUAUAUUUUAACUUACAAGCAUGCGGUUUCCCAACAUCACCACCAGUGACAAUUGACUGCUGGAAUACCCCUUCAAUGAAAUCACGACAUCUGUUCUAUUAAUAAAUCUAGAAGGUUUAUCUUUUAAAAAAUUAAUUAAUUAAAAACUAAAACUGAAAGAUUCAAAUACAAAAUAUGCAGGCCAUACAACCCCUCUCCGGCGAGACACGCCAACCCCAAUCUCGUCCAAAUCUGGUACCACUCCACCUCCCUCUCUUCCUCUUCCUCAUAGACGAAGAACAACAGGCAGAGAGUGGCGGAUGGAGUUUCUCCAAUCGAUAACCCGCCGACGCUAUAUGCCCCCGCUGGAACCCAUGUGGACCAUCUUCCUCGUCGUCAUCUUCAUCAGCCUGAUGUUCGAGUUUUUCUUUGACGAGAAAACUUUGCUCCUUGCUGGGUUUUUUUGUGAUGGGUAUGAAACUGCGAGGCCGACGAGCACAGGAGCCGACUCACUGAGUUAAUGGUGGCGCGAGUUAGCGAUUAUAGUGGGGGUUGAGAGAUUCGAUGACUCAAUUUUUUCCAAGAAUAUAUGGCCAAAUUUGCGUUCUUCUUUUCCCGUAUUUGAGAAAGAAGGAUGAAAUAGAAAUUGCGAGGAGGACGGAUCGGACGCCGGGUGGGGGGAGCUGUGGGUUGUUGGCGCGACUGUCGAAUUGUUUUGUUUUAGUUUUUAUUUUAAUUGAAUUUCUUAAAAAAAAUUAAAUCAGAUAGAUUCUUUAUUGGGGCACGUGGCAUCUCCGAUUAGAUGUGUACACAUAUAUUAAAGUCAACUGGUUGGGAUUCUGAUCUUCAUCUCAUAUCCCUAUGUAAAACUAAAACCUAAUUCAAAAACGAAAACGAAAAUACUCGGUUCCUUUAUAUGUAUGUAAGAAGUCACACUUUUUUAUAAAUAAAUUACAAUUUGAUAUGCGAGCAUAAAUUUCUUUUUUUACGGUUUUAAUAAGUAAAAUAUUAUCAUUAGAGGCUUAAAAUAUUAUUAAUUUACGUGUCAAACUGCAAUUGUAUGUAUCGAGAAAAAGUGACGGAAGUAAGCAAGUGCAAAUAAAAAACUGUGAAUAUGAGUUAACAGCUAAGUGAUAGGUACAACCCCACAAGAAUUGGUGGGUUUUUUACACUUUCCCCAUUGACCAUAAAUUUUUAAAGUCCUCCCCCACUAAAACUCCAAACCAUUUGUGACCCUGCAAUGAUUCUGGAAAAUCCCCCAAUUUCUAACGUCUAUUUAGAUUCAAUUUCAUAUCCCAUACAAAGG
rnacentral:lncRNA from 1 species